rnacentral:lncRNA from 1 species
AGUUAUUUUAACCAAGCAAAAGUCACUGGUUGAUCGGAGACACAUGAUAGAAAACACACAGAAUUGUGAUUCCUGAAUCUCCAGAGAAAAUUGCCUCAACCUUUGGUUUGCUAAUUAAUUAUGGAGAAAGUGGUCAUGCUCUUAACACCCUAGAGGUCAUAGGGCAGUACUCUUAACUUACUUUUAUGGGAAAGCAGCAGAUGAACAGCAAUCAAGGCUGGGUAUCAAAGCAUCUUUUCAUUAGAUGAAAUUCAUUACUCAACCCAGUGUGUUGUGCCAGUAUAAUGAUGAUCACAUUCCAGUUUGUCUCAACUACUGUUGCCCUGAUUAUUGACUUUAGUCAUCAAAAGGAGAGAGAACUGGUUUAUAUACUUUAUUUAAAAGGGAGCAAUGUGCUAUUUCAUUUUAAAAAUGUAUUAUUGCAAAAAUAACCCUAGUAAGAAACUUUACAAAAAAUGUAGCCUUGCUAUUGACCUUGACAUACGAGACUUUGCAAUUAUUAGCCAAUUCAGGUCCAUUCUGAGAAUAAAGAAUGCAAGUAUAAAUUAGAAUUCAGAAACAAAGUGGGACUUCUGGUCCUCAUAGACUAUCAGUGCUUUGCCAAAUGUUCAGAAAAACAAGCCUAAAUCCAUUAAUGAGUAAAAAAUAAUGCAUAGGAUAUCAAAAGACAAGUGUUUAUAUACAUAUUAUGUGGAAAAAUUAAUAAGUCUUUUCAAAUUUCUUCCUUCCACAUCAAAAAUAUGCCUCUGAGAGAAGAAGUCCAGACUUUUCCAAUAUCUGUCUGACCUAGGGUUCCAUUUGGGGAGCUGCUAUUUUGGGCAGGAAUGAUUUUGGAAUAAUUUUCUAUGGGGCUUUAGCCUUAAGUGUUCGUCUCAGGGAAUAUUUUGCCUAAUAGCACAAAAAUAACUCAGGCCAUGGAUGUUUCUUUCCCCAAUUUCUUUCUUUUCAUGCUUUCUGUUUUGUUCUUCCAUUUUGAGGAGGAACAAAAUUAGGUCAGGGAAUGAAAAAUGACUGAGGUCAGUUCUGAGGCUGAAAAGUCUUGGUUGAAUUAAGUAUAACAUUAUUGUUCACCUAUCAAUCUUCAUGCAGUAGACAUAUUCUUUCAACAAUGAAUGUUGCACCCUUACACACUGAAUAAUUUAUAGUCUUAUAAUUGGAAGAUAGCUUCAAGAUGAUCUAGAUCAAGUUUAAUGACUACUGUGUUUCAAAAACUCAGAAGAAAAUUACCUACUGAGAGACACUUGACACUUUAUUUUUCCUGAGAAUCAAUGUUAGGGCUUAAGGAAUGAUUAAUUGUAUUUCUCUUGUGUUGCCAUACAGUUUUAAUUUAAUUGAAUUAACUUAUGAUAGUCUAACUGAAUGAUAUUUAUUAAGGUAAUAAAUAAGCAGAUAUUAAAGAAUAACUUAGAAUCGUAUGCAUUUGUUAGUGCUUUUAUACAGUUUCAUUCUAAAUUAAUUCAUAUAUAAUUUAAAAGGAAAAAAUACUCUGAGGAUUGUUAUGAAAAUGAGUAGUUGUUUACAAUCUUCUUCCACCCAAGAUCCCUUUAAACCUGAAAGUCUUUUGAUGUUAUAUUCAUAUAUAUAAAAAAUCUGAGCAAAAUUCCUCAAAACUAUAGUCAAAGUAAACAAAAGUAGUCAGAUAAACAGUAUUUCUCAUCUUGCCAAAAAUAUUUCUUCCUGAAAUAUUAAAAAUGCAUUUGUUUUACAUUCUCAACAUCCAUGUAUAAUUAUAUAUUAUUGCAGAUAUAAAUCCCUAGAAUACAAUUUAUACAUUGUCCUGUGAAGACUAUGAAUAAGGGUGUGUUCUUUUGUAUUUUGGUUACCCUUGGUUCUCUUCCUCCUCAGAGCUAGUAUUUCUUUCAAAUGUUCCAUUUAAUUAAUUCUCUUCAUCCUUUAUCAUCACUGAUGUCAAGUUUCUAAGAGCUUGGAAGCUUCUCAAGUGCUCACCAGUUCCCAAGCACUAAUAGAGCAGAUGGAGUGGAAAGAGAGAUGCUUUAGCUCCACAGUCCUGGACCUUUUCCAUGCCCUCUGCUCUUCAGGGGUUUCUCUGGAUAUUUUCCUCUAGCCAUCUGAUUCAGUUGUGAGCAGGCAAAGAAAUAAAGAUAUGUCCUUUAUUUUCCAUGAGUGACACAAUUUUCUGAGUCUUGUUGUUUAAGCAUUAUGUCUUAUCACAUCAGUAUAAGCCUCGGCAUCUCUAUAGUUAUUCUCUAGGAGGGUAGGAAUGCAGGAGCGUCAUUAUUUCCAUUUGUACACAUAGUUGUUCAGAAAUUUCAAAGAAGUCAUCAUAGCUUGGCCUUCCUCACUCUACUCUUCCUCUCUUUAGUAUAACUUUAUCGACAACUUUUUUUUUUUUGUCUUUUUUUCCCCCAGAGCUGAAGACUGAACCCAGGCCCUUGUGCUUGCUAGGCAAGUGCUCUACUACUGAGCUAAAUCCCCAACCCCUGCUAACUUUUAAUCCCUGAGAAUACUUUCUCCAUAUUAUAAAACCUUGUGAUGUUUUUGAUCAGCUUUUUCACUGGAUCACCUAAGAGUCAAUCAACAGGAAAAAAGAGAAUAUAUUAGCAUACUUUCACAGAGAAGCCUGAAAGCCUGAAAAGAGAUGGCCAUACAUCGAGAAUAAAGUGAUUGAUCAACAGAUGUCCAGUGACCCUGUGCAGUACCUUUGAAAAGAAAGUACAAAGUAAUCUUAAAACUCAGAGGAGAGGGUAGUAGCCACAGGAGGUGGCCAUGCUAGGCACAUCUGAUUUCUCCUGCUUUGUAAAACUACAUAGUGAAUGAAGAGAUUAUAAACAGAAUGUGGAAUUUAGACUUAACAGAAUAGUUGAUGCAGUAUACUAGAAAAUGCUAGGCAAAUAAAUAAUUAAAAGUUGUGUAUCUCCAUAUGUAGCUAUUUUCCCUAGAAACUGCCUGAAGCUAAUUCCUUCUUCUAAGGGAUAGAUGUCAACAUGUUGAGAUUAAAAGUAUUUCCACAAAAGCAAAGCACGACUCAAUAAAACAAACAAACAAACAAACAAGUAAACAAAUCUGGACACUGCAGAGUCAUGUCCAAAGCAUGCUGUUUUGAAUAAAAAGCCACACUAAAUUAGAAUAGAAGUAAAAUUUUGAACUCCCAGAAAUUGUAAAAGUAACAGAAGAAGCUGGAAAGUUGUAUAGAUAUGUACACU